GUGGGAUUCCUUGGAAGCUUUUCCGUUGGAUGGAAGGAGCAUAUCUAUGGUUGAGUGAGUUGGAUGCUAUUGCUAAACAAGUGGAAGUAGAGUUGGUUUCGAGAGACACAGUUUGCCAUUUGGUGGAAGUGUUGAAGGCUGUAAAUGUACUUCUUUUCGAACACGUGGCUUCAAAAGGUUUCAUGUACUCUUAGACUCAAAGCUUUCAUACUUGCAUGUGGUGCUAAAAUCUAGCUGUGGCAGUGCAAUUUUGCUUAGCAUCAUUUAUAUUGAAGUUUGUAAAAGACUCGGGGUGAUGAUUGUUGGUUCACGAUUGGGGAGGAAUUUCUGAUUUGGC